UUCCUCAAUAGAAUGGGCACUAUGGGAGAUUAAUAGCUUUGAAAUCUUCGAUCUCCAAGGAGCUCAUCUUCUUCUUGGAGUCUUUAUUCCAAAAGUCAGAGUUCUUAUUCUAGAAGCUCGUAUAUUGCAUGCAUGUAAGGAUCGAGAUUGAAAAAUUCAUCAGGAAUUGUAUGAGCAUCAAAGAUCUAGCAAUUAACCAGAAUCAAAGCAGACCUGCAGGUAGUACAAGUUGUGUUAUAAAGCACAAGCUUAUAUUUAUGUUUUACAUUACUAGAAAGAUGAGUACUUGUAUUGUUUGUCUUUUUAUGAUUAGAAUACUUACAGAGAUACCUUUGAGCAUCGAUCGAUGCGGAAAGUACGGUAACUUUCGAGAUCGUGGAAGGCAUACUAGAAUG
rnacentral:lncRNA from 1 species